rnacentral:lncRNA from 1 species
GGGUGAGCGCAAAACCAAGAUUUCUAGAAUUUGAUCCUAAGGGUUUGGGAAGAGAGAGAAAAAAAAGAGAAAAGCAUCUCCUCUCCAUACUUCUUCCUCAUCUUCAUCUCCUCCAGAUAUCUAUCUUCAAUCUUUAAAAAGGUUUGAGAGAUUUUAAGAAAAGAUCUGGAUCAGCCAACAAGAUGGAUUUCACACGAGCUAGCACUCUUGAGAAGACUGAUCAGAUUGGGGCUUCGAGUG